CGGGGCCGGCAGCUUUACCGGGAGCCGUGGGACCGGGCGGCCGAGCCGUGACCGUGACCGUGACCGAGCGCAGGGGCCAAGUGGCGGAUCGGACCCUCCGGCAACGAAACCCGGUACCGGCGCCGAGCCUCAGGGGAACGGCGGCUCCGUCCGGGGCUCGGUCUGCGGGAACACCGCCUGUACCGGCGGGGUCCGAAGAACCGGCCCCACAUCUCCCGGGCUCGGCCGAACCGGGAGGAAGGGCGGAAACCGACAGCCAGCACGGCACCCCCGGGAAUGAAAAAAUCCGUUCCUCGGUUGGAGAGACGGACACGGACGGACAGAUCGAGUGUCCGGGAUUAACGGAAAAUCCCUCACACGGAGGGACACACGGACAAGCAUGAAAAAAACCGUUACCGGGACGGACAGACCGAAAAAGGCUCCGGUAAUUAAAGCAAAAAAACAAUUAACGUCCCUUACUGAGACGGACAGAGAAUCUCCGUGAUUAACGUGGAAAAAAACAAAUAUUACCGGGACAGACAGAACGACAGUGACGGCAGAGCAGCGUGCCGGUAAUUAACGGAUACGAUUGUGCACAACGCGGCUCACGCCGGUAACGAAAAACCCUUCGGACAGACGGACACGGACACGGAUCAGCCCUCCCGUGAGUAACCGAACCUCCGUUACCGACCGGAGAGAUGAACGAAAAUGGAGCCGCACUCCGGUAAUUAACGGGUAAAAAAAAAAUUCCUAAUUACGGAGAGGUGCUCCGGUAAUUAAGGAACCAUAGCGGGCAGAGACGGACAGACAGAGCAGCGAUCCCGUGAUUAACGAAUAAAGCAAUUCGUUAACGGGCGGACAGACGAACAGAACGAGGACGUCUCGGCCUCCCGGUUUUAAGGUCCGUCCCCACCGGGCGCUUCGGGCCCGCGCCCUCCGUGCAGGAAACGUCGCAAAUCCCGGACCGCGUUCACGGCGCAGCAG